rnacentral:rRNA from 1 species
CGGACGGGUGAGUAAUGCGUGGGUAACCUGCCCUAUACAGGGGGAUAACAGUUAGAAAUGACUGCUAAUACCGCAUAAGCGCACAGGACCGCAUGGUUCGGUGUGAAAAACUGAGGUGGUAUAGGAUGGACCCGCGUCUGAUUAGCUUGUUGGUGAGGUAACGGCUCACCAAGGCGACGAUCAGUAGCCGGCCUGAGAGGGCGACCGGCCACAUUGGGACUGAGACACGGCCCAAACUCCUACGGAAGGCAGCAG